ACCUUAACUGAUGACCAAUUCGGUUCAUAAACUCACUCAUUUGAUGAUUGUACGAAAAAUCAAUACACCUUACAUUUACGUUUUUCUACAGAGUGUUCAUAAAUAUAUCUAAAAACCUUCACCUUACAUUCCGAUAAAUUUUACGUUCAAAAUUUUACGGAGUUAAAAAAUUAGUGAUUCAUAUAGUCAAACAGACGUCAAUUAUUCGUUUUAUUUACUUUUUUAAAACUAAUUCUGGUAAUUUUUUAAGUCCGUCAACACAUUCCGAGUAGAGAAGUCCAAUGAAAUUUUCACAACUUAGGAGCACGAAUUUUGCGAAGAAAAAUAAAUAAAAUAUAAACAAAUGAAAUAUCUGGGAAACUUUGAUAGAUAAGUGAAUAAAAUUGUUAUUAUCAGUAUAUCCUUCUAUAUUCAGAAUUCUCUAAUCAAGAAAUGAACACAUACAAGGAAAUUUCUGAUUCAUUUCAACACACCUAUAUGGCACCAGCACAAUUGAAACUGAGAAAACCAUGUCUGUCAAUCCCAGCUGUAAUUGAGGACCACAAUUUCUGAUAAUGAUUCGUUGUUGGGAGACGCAAAAAAUCGGUAAAGCAAUGAAAUAUUGGUAGCUGACAGCAGCUCAUAAAAUUUCCAUUAGGUUUUUCACUUUUCAAAUGGGUUCAAUCAUUUUUGAUGGAUAUACACAAAUGUUCAUUUUCCACCCUAAAGUCCCACUAUACAAUAACAUGUACCUAUUGAUUCUUGAAUAAAUAACAAGUACCACA